GAUGAACGCUGGCGGCGUGCCUAACACAUGCAAGUCGAGCGAACGGACGCGAAGCUUGCUGUUCUGAUGUUAGCGGCGGACGUGUGAGUAACACGUGUAUAACCUACCUAUAAGACUGAGAUCACUUCGGGAAACCGGCGCUAAUACCGGAUGAUAUUUUGAACCGCAUGGGUCAAAAGAGAAAGACGGUGUUUCUGGCACUUCUAGAUGGAUCCGCGCUGCAUUAGCUAGUUGGUAAGGUCACGGCUUACCAAGGCGACGAGGCGUAGACGACGUGAGAGGGUGAUCGGCCACACUGGAACUGAGACACGGUCCAGACUACUACGGGAGGCAGCAGUAGCGAAUGUUCCGCAACGGGCGAAAGCCUGACGGAGCAACGCCGCGUGAGUGAUGAAGGUCUUCGGAUCGUAAAACUCUGCUAUUAGUGAAGAACAUAUGUGUACGGAACUGAGCCGAUCUUGACGGUAACGAGUCAGAAAGCCACGGCUAACUACGUG
rnacentral:rRNA from 1 species